GAUGAAGAACGCAGUGAAAUGCGAUAAGUAGUGUGAAUUGCAGAAGUACCGUGAAUCAUCGAAUCUUUGAACGCAAAUUGCACUCUCUGGUAUUCCGGGGAGUAUGCCUGUUUGAGGGUCGCUUAACAAACCAUCGAUUUCGUUGCUUUUUUUUUAAAGAGUGAUGUUUAUCGGAUUUGAGCCGUCUUUUUUUUUUAUAUUUAAAAGUGGCUUAAAAUUGAUUUUUUUGGUACGAUCGAAGCGUAUUUUUAUGAUCAAUUUUUGGUUAAAGAAACGCACACGUACCGUUAUUUAUAUGAUGUAAUACGUUUGACUAUUGGAUUUAGUUCAUUCGUAUACGAUAUCUUUCAAUAUUUGACCUCAAAUCAGGUAAGAACACCCGCUGAACUUAAGCAUAUCAAUAAGCGGGGA
rnacentral:misc_RNA from 1 species